rnacentral:rRNA from 1 species
CAACUCGCCUACAUGAAGCUGGAAUCGCUAGUAAUCGCGGAUCAGCAUGCCGCGGUGAAUACGUUCCCGGGCCUUGUACACACCGCCCGUCACACCACGAGAGUUUGUAACACCCGAAGUCGGUGGGGUAACCUUUAUGGAGCCAGCCGCCUAAGGUGGGACAGAUGAUUGGGGUGAAGUCGUAACAAGGUAGCCGUAUCGGAAGGUGCGGCUGGAUCACCUCCUUUCUAAGGA